rnacentral:rRNA from 1 species
UGGGAAUCUGCCCUUAGGUUCGGAAUAACAGUUAGAAAUGACUGCUAAUACCGGAUAAUGUCUUCGGACCAAAGAUUUAUCGCCAAAGGAUGAGCCCGCGUAAGAUUAGCUAGUUGGUGGGGUAAAAGCCUACCAAGGCGACGAUCUUUAGCUGGUCUGAGAGGAUGAUCAGCCUCACUGGGACUGAGACACGGCCCAGACUCCUACGGGAGGCAG